UCCUGUUUUUAAAGUUUCAGGGGUGUGUCUAAUUCUUCUUGGUGCUGGUUUAUUUAACAGAAGUCUUAGUUUUUGGAUAUUAAUAUUGUGGAAAGUUAACAGAGCUGAUGUCUAGCUGAUCAAACUCAAAGUAAGCUCUUCAGUUUAAAUUUUCGAUGUGGGCAUAAAUCAAGUAAAGGUCUAAUUUUUAAAACUAAUUUCCAGUAUUUUUUCUAAACAGAUUAUGAAGCAAUUGUGAAGCUUUCGGAUGGCUUUAAUGGAGCAGAUCUGAGAAAUGUUUGUACUGAAGCAGGUAUGUUCGCAAUUCGUGCUGAUCAUGAUUUUGUAGUACAGGAAGACUUCAUGAAAGCAGUCAGAAAAGUGGCUGAUUCUAAGAAGCUGGAGUCUAAAUUGGACUACAAACCUGUGUAAUUUACUGUAAGAUUUUUGAUGGCUGCAUGACAGAUGUUGGCUUAUUGUAAAAAUAAAGUUAAAGAAAAUAAUGUAUGUAUUGGUAAUGAUGUCAUUAAAAGUAUAUGAAUAAAAAUAUGAGUAACAUCAUAAAAAUUAGUAAUUCAACUUUUAAGAUACAGAAGAAAUUUGUAUGUUUGUUAAAGUUGCAUUUAUUGCAG
rnacentral:lncRNA from 1 species